UCGUUUACGUGUUUCCUUUCCUGGAAAGGAUUCUUGAGGGUUUACACAGCAUUCCUCCCCAAGCUACCGUCCGGGACUCAGACAACAGUUUUGGAAGCCACCAGGAUCUGUGCGUGGUCCUCUGAAUGAUAAUCACUUGGCUACUGAAGAUGUCCUCGUGCUUCUGAACGACCCAAAGCGUCAUACUUAGUACAUUUAACUUUUACAGGCUUCUGCCUGUGCGGUGUGAUGAGAGCUACGGGAGCUGGCGGCUUGCACGACUGGAGAAAGCACAGGGCUGCACGGGGAGUUCCCAUUCCACGCAAAAGGCCAGCCAACAACACAGCAGCCCCGUCCCUUGUAUCCCGGGUGAGCGUGAGCUUCGGCCUCUC